rnacentral:miRNA from 1 species
UGUGUGUGUGUGUGUGUGUGUGUGUCUAUAUAUAUAUAUAUAUAUAGACACACACACACAUACACACAUACACA